UCCUGACCUCAAGUGAUCUUCCUGCCUCAGCUUCCCAAAGUGCUGGGAUUACAGGCAUGAGCCGCCGCGCCUGGCCAUUGAGUCUUGAAUAGUUAAAACUUCCAAGAGGAGGAGACUGCCAGGGUGUGACCGCGCCCCCUGCCCCCGCUCCAGCGAAGCCCCCUGUUUAUCAACCCACUUGGUCAGAAGACAUUUCACCACAGCCAGAAACCAGGUAUGAAUGAAUACCCAGGGAGCUGGAAACGCAAAUAAGAACCUCAGAACUUAUAAGCAAUCAGCCCCAUCACUCUAACAACAAUAACAACAACAAAAUAAAUCAACAAAGCUUACUGAACCAAAGCCAAUGGCAACAAAGAAUGCUGAAGUGGCCCCCAGAUUCCCCUGGCUCCACCCUCAGGACCAGCUUUCCUUCUUCUGUGAGAGACCCGUGCAGGCCCUUUAACCAGCCGGACUCCGCUCGGAGGGUCUCGCCUCGGCCUGGUGCUAUGACUGCUGAUGCCUACACAACUGCUUCCCCUCCUCACUAAACCCCAGCUCCCAUGCUGCCACCAAGCGGCAGGUUGCUAUUCUUUCCCGGGGUUGAAAUCCAAAUACUACCUGGGCUGUGUGACUCUCUAGUGUGGAUGCAGAUUAGGGUGGUAAGCCAAAGGGUUGAACUCCCAGUUCCACACCCGAUGGGAAAUGUCAUCUCUACACAGGGUCAGCUACUUCAUGUCCAUCGCACGCACCACCACCACGUGCAUGGUCUGCACCUGACCCAAGCUGAAUGAUGGACAUCACCUGUGUAAGCAUCUUGAUGAAGGGAAAAGCUCACUGGGUGCCAGUCCCAUCCCUUCCGUCCUCUGGGCCUCAGUCUUCUCUGUCAAACAGGCAAGACUCAAAAGGCUCCUGGAGACCCAACAGGCCAGGCUAUAAAGCAAGACAUGACCCCAGAGCAGCCACCUAUCUCAUCCUUGGGCCAGCCGGGGCAGGGGCAGCUGGGGGGACCUCAGUGACACUUUUGACUGCAAGCCACUGAAAAUGUCUUGUACUUGCUAUGUAUCUCCUGCUUGCUUCCUAUCAUUUUUUUUUUAAAAAACACUAAUUGUGCACUAAGUGCCUUUGCCAGGCACUAUUCUAGGUACUUGGAAUAGAGGAAAAGAAAAAGGAUGAAGAUCGCUGCCGCAUGGGGCUCACAUUCUAGUAAGUGUGGGGAGAGUAGCCACAAAGGGCAACACAACUGUGUAACUCAUGCUGACGUUGGUGUGACAGGGGCAGAUGGUGAAAGGGCAGAGUUGGGCACAGAGGCCCGAGUGCGCUUUUUGGUGUCACAGCCAGGGCAGGCCUCUUAGAGGAGGAGGGAGGCAGAGAGCCUUCAGUUGGUCUAAGCUCUUACCCCAAGCUCAUUGCUUUUACCUGUUCUCUAGGAAUAUCUGCAAAAGCUCUGGCCCAGGGAGGUGGCAGUACAGGCCUGUAAACUCCUAAUAGAAGGUCCAGAGUCCAGAACUCUCCAUCUUAGAAAUGGGAACAAUUUCCUUACCAAGUCUCCACUCGAUAGGCAAUGUCCUCUCCUGAGGGCCAGGGAGCACGCCAUUCAAGGACUUGACUGCACUGGCUAAGCCAGGAGAGGGAGGAAGAGAAGAGGGUUAGUGUGUGAUUUUUUUUUUUUUUUUCGGAGACAGGGUCUGGCUCUGCCAUCCAGGCUGGAGUGCAGUGGUGCAAUCUUGGCUCACUGCAACCUCUGCCUCCUGGGUUCAAGCUAUUCUCGUGUCUUAGCCUCCCAAGUAGCUGGGACUCCAGGUGCAUGCCACCACGCCCAGCUAAUUUUUGUAUUUUUAGUAGAGAUGGGGUUUUGCCAUGUUGGCCAGGCUGGUCUUGAAAUCCUGACCUCAAGUGAUCCAUCCACUUCAGCCUCCCAAAAUGCUGGGAUUAUUGGUGUGAGCCACUGUGCCUGGCCUUUAAUGGAACUUUUCAAGGAACCAUUCAAAAAUAGUUGUUGGGGCUGGGUGAGGUGGCUCACGCCUGUAGUCCCAGUACUUUGGGAGGCUGAGGUAGGAGGAUUGCCUGAGCCCAGGAAUUCAAACCAGCCUAGGCAACAGAACAAGACCCUGUCUGUACGAAAAAUAAAAUUAGCUGGGCACAAGCCUGUGGUCCCAGCUACUCAGGAGGUUGAGGUGGGAGGAUCACUUGAGCCCAGGAGGUCAAGGCUGCACUGAGCUGUGAUUGCGCCACUGUACUUCAGUCUGGGUGACAGAACGAAACCCUGUCUCAAAAACAAAACGAAACAAAACAAACCCAAGACAAACAAAACAAACAAAAAUAGCUGUUGAACUGUUUCCUUUCUCCUCGACUGGCAAUGACACUGAGUUCCUUCCACUCAUGGAGGAGUCACUCCGGGACUCCCCGUGCACUGUCAGAACACCUCUAAGGCACCAUCUUCACUUCACUCCCUUGAAGAGCAACAAUCUCUCCCGUCUAAAGGGCCCCUGAGCUGCGUGGCAAACCAGCAAUGAAAGAAACAAAAAACCUGCAACAGAGUCGUAAGGUUUCAACUCUUGAGCACAAGCUCUUUCUCAUUUUGAUGCCCCUCUGAGACGGACUGGAAGGGACAGUGCGUGGGAAACACCCCUCUUCUGCCCCUGCUCUGCCUGGUGCCACACCCAUGGAAGGGGCAACUGCUCUGCAGACCUGAAGGUCAGCACGAAGGUCGCUUACUGGGUAGGGGCUGCCUGACGCAGCUUCCAUAGUGACUAUAAUUUAUUCACAGGCCCAUGUAUGGAGGUUUUUCUUCUAAAUAUCAUUAUUCUAAGCAUCAUCAUGGGCACAGUGGCUCACGCCUGUAAUUCCAGUACUUUGGGAGGUCGAGGCGGGAGGAUCACGAGGUCAGGUGAUCAAGACCAUCCUGGCUAACACGGCAAAACCCCGUCUCUACUAAAAAAUAGAAAAAAUUAGCCAGGCGUGGUGGCAGGUGCCUGUAGUCCCAACUACUCGGGAGGCUGAGGCAGGAGAAUGGUGUGAAGCCGGGAGACGGAGCUUGUAGUGAGCCGAGAUCGCGCCACUGCACUCCAGCCUGAGCCACAGCGUGAGACUCUGUCUUAAAAAAAUAAAAAAAUAAAAUAAAAUAAAAUAGAAAUCAUUAUUGUCUAGGCUUUUGGAGAAGCAUAUGCUGUGAAAAUGAUCACGGCUGUGCUCCUAAAAGCCAGUCAUGUUUCUGUAACAGUUUUCUGCAUGGACCCUCACUUUCAGAAAUGCAAAGGUGGCCUGAGAGCUGGGCACCUCACUUACUUGUAGGAGUAUGGUUUUGGUUCCUCUAAUGUGCCUGAUGUAGAAGAGAGGGAAGUCGGCACUCAACGAAGAGGAACACCAUUGUCAGGAUUAGGAGAAUGCUCUGCUUGGCAGGUAAAUCAAACCAGCAGCACAGCCCCACUAGGUGUCUCACCUCACUUCUGAGAGAUUUCCAGGUGGUUGAUGAGGGAAAAAUGCAGUCUCUUUUGAUUUUCAAUGGUCGUAGAAUAUCCCUUUUCAAAAUUCAUUGUAUGCAGAAUAAAAAUGUCACAUUCUGAGAAUGGAGAAUCUAUAGAAAGGGCCUGGAACCUUAGUAAUGAAUGAGUUUUCACAUUUUAACCUUCGUAAAGGGAAUACUACCCAUGUUGCCAUGAAAAUCAAGCCAAGAUCAAUUAGUAACAUAGUCUUAUAAACAUAACGCACUUGGGUAACUUUCUGUGGAUGAAUACUAGUCUCUGAGACACGCACUCCUUAUUUGACCAAGUAACACAUUAAAACGCAGCCACUGCUUAUGACAAGUGAGCCCCUCAAGAAAAUACGAGCAUAAAGAGUGGCCACUGCAUCAGGGCAUUCCAGAAACUCAUUUUUCUUAAAGGAAUUUAACUUCUAGUACUCAAUGUGUCCUUGAGAAUGCAAAAAUGGAAAACAAUUCAAAAUCAGUCCCAGCUACAAAGAUA